rnacentral:rRNA from 1 species
UACGGGGGGAGCAAGCGUUGUCCGGAAUCAUUGGGCGUAAAGGGCGUGUAGGCGGUUUGGCAAGUCGAGUGUGAAAUCCCACGGCUCAACCGUGGAACUGCGCUCGAAACUGCCUUACUUGAGUGCGGGAGAGGUGUGCGGAAUUCCUGGUGUAGCGGUGGAAUGCGUAGAUAUCAGGAAGAACACCGGUGGCGAAGGCGGCACACUGGCCCAGCACUGACGCUGAGGCGCGAAAGCGUGGGGAGCGAACGGGAUUAGAUACCCCGGUAGUCCACGCUGUAAACUUUGGGCACUAGGUAUUGGAGGUCUCAACCCCUUCAGUGCCGUAGCUAACGCGUUAAGUGCCCCGCCUGGGGAGUACGGUCGCAAGGCUGAA